UCAUCAAGAAUCGAAUGAUUAAAGGAUUAGUGGACUAAAUUGUACGAAAGAUAAGCUAGAAAGUAAAGAGAAAGGAGGUGACUACUUCAAGGAUCUAAGUGGACUUUUUACCCACUUAUUAUCAUCUUUUAUGAAUGGAUAAUCAUUCAUUCAAACACAAUUUUGCAGCCAAAGGAGAAGAAUCCCGUAACUCUCCUCUCAAAUUUCUCACAAAUUUUCAAAACAUCAUAUCUCAUUCGUUUUAAGUCCGAAUUGAGCGAUUCUUGCGGCCACGGAACGAGAAAAUGAUUAUCUACAGAUCUAUAGCUUCAAUUUGAGACUCGACGAAGCGACUAUCGACAAGGCUCGAGGGGAACGGAUCGAGAUGUCUUCGUGCUUAUUUGAAGAAUUUGGAUAGCAAGUGGGAUGGUAUGAUAUGAUUUGAAGAGUUAAGCUUCCGAAGUUUUAAUUCUCGGAAGUCAUUUACACAAGAAGUGAAAGAAGGUUUUCAUUCUAGCGGUCCGCAGUAGUCUAGAUGUUUUUGUCUAUGUAUUUGUAUAACGCGUUUUAACUCUGAUAUUUUUGUAAAAUGGGGUCACAGGUAUUUUGAUAUGUGAAAUAUGAUUUGAUUUGCGAAAAAUUUACACAGGUUUUUAGGCUUGCUACGGGUUUCGGAGCUACCACUCCCAUUCCCUAGCGCCGGUCGCGACUCAUAAAUUUGGGUCGUGACAAAGUUGGUAUCAGAGCCUGGUUUAGAAUUCCUAGGCCAUUGUUCUUUUAUGAUUGAAGUAUAGGAAAGUGUCGAUCAAUAUAUAGGAACUACUGCGGAUUAUAGGGAUUUCCAGUCAUGUCUUUUGAACGUUAUCAAUGUUUUCAUCGAUUUUUCAAACGUUUUACAAAGACGUCCCCUCCUAUACGUGCUAUUAGGAGUCGAGUUAGAAGUGUGCAUGAGCACAAAUUGUGUUUUGUGUUUACUCGAGUAAGCAAUACGCUUUCGAGUAUCUAUAGUCUGCGAAGAGUUAUAUACUCUCGAGACUCAUAUGAUAAAAGAAUAUCGUUAUGGACUAUGAUUGAAUUAAUUGAUUUAAUAGUAUAUGAUUGAUGAGAUAUGCGAUGCGUUACUAGACACGAUCACUCAGGAGAGUGAUAUGCUCACAGGUAUGUACGCCUGUGAUAAUGUAUGCGAUACGUGACAUGUGUGUAUAUGAAUGGUUAUUAUGGAUAGAACUUGCGCUUAUUGAUUGGAUGCUGUUUAAUUUUGCUAAGUCUAUAGUGAGUGGAAUGCUCGCAAGAUUUAAAGUACGCGACGCCACCGAGGAAAAUCUAGGAAGCACUGAUUUUCUUUGGACUCAGUCAAUAUAUAUGCUUAUAGCCACGAUAGUGACGCGCGUAGAACAUAGAUAUCAUGAUUAUAUGUUUUGAUGUUUUGCUAAGUCUACAAUGAGUAAGAACACUCAGAAGACUUGCAAUACGAGAUGUAAUCGUAGAAAACCUAGAGGAAGGAGGUAUCCCUAAGGAUCCAACUUACGCGGAUGACUGUUAUUUGUGAUGACUAGUAUGUGCUAUAUUUUAAGGAAUUCAUCGUGAUUCCUUUAUAUAUAUCCGCCAUACUAUGAACAAAGAAUUGCUCGAGCACGUGUUGUUGCACAGUAAGUGCACGAGGCCCAAGGAGAAGCCAGAAGUAAUGAAGGUCAAUGUAACCUAAUCCAUUCGGCCGAUAGAGGCCAGGGACGAGGCAAAGAUCAAGAAGAACCUGGUAUAGACAUAGUGGAAAUAUAUGGGCACCAGGAGUGCCGCAGCAACCCAAUGUCAAUAUUAAUCAGUUAACAGCAGAAAUAACUGAUAUAAGGAAUUGUAUGCCAAUGAUGGGGCAGUUGAUACAAAGACAGUAUCAACGUGAAGAGAGAAACACAAAUAGAGAUGGAUAUUAGCAUACAUGGAGUUAUACCCCAAAAGGAGUCUGAUGGAUCAAAGGAUACACUAGAGUUUCUAGAAAGAAGUGAAGAGUAAGAUAUUAACAGCAAGUAUAACCCAAGGGUUAGUGUUACAGUAGAUAGUAACCCAAAGGACGAAUCGCAAUAAGGUGAAUAGUGAGAAUAUAAUAAGAAGAAAAGCAAUGUCCAAAGGGAACUAAUGUGAAUACGUGUUAGGGGCCAAUAAGGUGGCAAAGAGGAUUCGAACAAGAUAGUGAUCAAUAGGAUUAUGAUAUCGUGAAGAUUAUAAAGGAUGUUAGUAAGUGCCAUAAGAAUUAGCAAACUUCUCUGCACGAGUAAGAAGAUAGAUAAGAGUAAAUGAAAGGGAGUUGGUUAACAGACCCGAGAGUCAAUAAUCAAGAUAAGUGAUAGGCGUGGAAGUAAAGAAACUGCUAAAGGCAGCAUAUGGUAAGAAAGGUUGAAUAAAUUGAGAAACUCAUCGGGAAUAAAUAAACGAAGUGUAUCACAUAGACCAGAAGAUAUGAUGAAGGUUAAUGAGAGGAAUAUAACAGGAGACGCUAAAAAAAAAAUAAUGACAAAAGUGAAAAGACCGAAAGGCGAUGCAGCCAGACUCAUAAGAACGAUAGACAAGGGAAAGUAGCCAAGGAUGCUAGAAACUAUUCGUCCGUCUUUGGAACAAAGAAUUUCCAACCUUGCAAAUCCCAUGUGCCCGCAACGCGGCAGAAGUCACUUGGGUAAAGGUCAAGCUAUAAUCAAUGUAUGCAAUUGGUGUGGACAACAAGGUCACUAUGAUAAGGAAUACUCGCAGUCCGUGUAAGUGGAAUACCACAGAUGACGCGAAUCAACUGUCUCCUAAAAGACGUAGUUCUCACGACGUGUUCUGGUUAAAUACAAUCAAAUAGAUUGCGUAGUUGAAGAAAACAUCGUGAAGUCCGAACGUUAGAAGCUCAAUAACGAUUAAACCUUUCGAGAUAGUCUAGUAUAGACACGAACGUUUAGAACGUACUCUUCAAACGACGUUUGAACGAGACGAGUGGAACCACAUCUUUUCAUGUGCAAAAGAUGUAUAUAGAUUACGAACGGCAAAACAACAAACGAUAAGAACGAAUAGAAAUACAGAGUCUGAUGUCGAAAGAAACUUACGUAAAACCGUUUUAUGAAAAGAAAAGUAUUUGAUUGAAAUGAAAUGUUUUGAAAAGACAUAAUUGUGCCCGGACACGAAUCAUAAAAACAUUGCAUUGACACGAAUAGAAUUGUAUCACUACAUCCAUAUUGCAUUCACUAGUAGGACAUGCAUCAUAUACAUUGUGUGUCUGAAAAGAAAAGAGGAGUGUCAUUGCAACUCUUGUGAUGAGAGAAGUCAUCACACCGGUGCACAAUUAUGACAUGAUUUGAGAAAUGAAAGGUAUCAUGGUUUUAAACGAAUAAGUUUUUAAACGUAAGUAAGCUCAGACAGGGACUCUGUAUAUAGAGGCAUAGGACAAGACUGAUCAUCUUGUUAGGCCUAUAUGAAAACAUACGUAUGUAACACGACAAGUAUAUAGAACGACGAGUAGUGUAAUGCGAAUCGCAACAUAUCGAGAUUUGGAUUGCAAAUCUCUAAAGCGGUCUUGUAUAUUAAAUACAAAAACAACGACGCUACUUUACAAAUAUGUAAAGUGAUAGCGGCCAUGAUUAAACUCGAAGCACGUUUGCCUCUAGGACGAGAAAAUCUAACAUAGAAGUUAGUUACGUCAGGGGAUAUGAACCCUACGAACAAACAUAUGUUGUUUAAAAAGGUCGAAUAAAGAGAAUUGAUUCAUAAUAAUUAUGAAUCAAAUAGUAAUAAGGUGGUUAUGAUGGUUAGCAUAAGAAGUUACUCGAUAAGUAUAUCGAGACACUUUCACCUAAAACAGUAUUAGAUGAAUGAUUGUAUAAACCUAACUGUAAAGUCAACAGUUGGUGAAUAAUUAGUCAGAGUAUCGCAUCGGAAGUGUGGAAGGAAGCGAAUGAUAAGGUUCGAUUAAGUAUUGGUUAAGUGAUACUAGAAGAUUAUGAAAAUUCGAGGACGAAUUUUUGUAAGGGGGGAAGAUUGUAAUAACCUAAAUUUUUGAGGUAUUACGUGUAGUGCCACGAGGCAUAAUCGUAAAGAUUAAGAAUGAGACUAUCAGAUUAAUAAUGGAUAAUAAGGACUUAGACCGAAGCGGGUCUAUUGGAAUUAUCGUAAAAUAAGAAUUUACCUGGAAAAUUAUUAUGCGAUAAAUUGAAUUUAAUCGGGACUAAAAGGGAAUAAAAUAAAAUGAGUUGGAAAGACAGAGCUAAUAAUAUUCACGGCAAGGUCCGUGAAAUAUUAUUAAUAAAUGAUCGUCAAGUUUCGUAAGUAUACGAAAUUCGUUUUAGAAGAAAGUUUGACGAUUAGUUAAGAAUAAGGGUUAAAGUGCAAAUUAGCCACUUUAAGGACUAAAGUGGACUUUUAACCACAAACUUCCGGAGGAAGUUGUGUUUUACUCUAUUUUCUCAAGAUAAGAAAAUAAUAUCGGUAAAGUUGUUAUUGAUAGUCAUUAAAAUGAAAAUUGGACGAAAAAGUGAGGAAAAGUGCAAAUUAGCUCAAAAUGAAAAUUUGAGCGUUUUUGGCCAAAAUUGCCAAAAUAAAUUAUUGGAGGGUGAUAUUAAAAGAUAUGAGAUUAAUGUUAUUUAUUUAAAAAAUAAAUAAAUAACGGAAUUCAUCAAGAAUCGAAUGAUUAAAGGAUUAGUGGACUAAAUUGUACGAAAGAUAAGCUAGAAAGUAAAGAGAAAGGAGGUGACUACUUCAAGGAUCUAAGUGGACUUUUUACCCACUUAUUAUCAUCUUUUAUGAAUGGAUAAUCAUUCAUUCAAACACAAUUUUGCAGCCAAAGGAGAAGAAUCCCGUAACUCUCCUCUCAAAUUUCUCACAAAUUUUCAAAACAUCAUAUCUCAUUCGUUUUAAGUCCGAAUUGAGCGAUUCUUGCGGCCACGGAACGAGAAAAUGAUUAUCUACAGAUCUAUAGCUUCAAUUUGAGGAGCUAUGAUUAUGGAAUUUUGAUGGUUGUUCAUGGAGGAAUUCAUUCAGCCAAAGGGUUAUACCAUCAAACAAAGACUCGACGAAGCGACUAUCGACAAGGCUCGAGGGAAACGAAUCGAGAUGUCUUCGUGCUUAUUUGAAGAAUUUGGAUAGCAAGUGGGAUGGUAUGAUAUGAUUUGAAGAGUUAAGCUUCCGAAGUUUUAAUUCUCGGAAGUCAUUUACACAAGAAGUGAAAGAAGGUUUCAUUCUAGCGGUCCGCAGUAGUCUAGAUGUUUUUGUCUAUGUAUUUGUAUAACGCGUUUUAACUCUGAUAUUUUUGUAAAAUGGGGUCACAGGUAUUUUGAUAUGUGAAAUAUGAUUUGAUUUGCGAAAAAUUUA